rnacentral:rRNA from 1 species
UGAGGGAAUAUUUGGGGUCAAUGGGCGCGAGCCUGAACCAGCCAAGUAGCGUGCAGGAUGACGGCCCUAUGGGUUGUAAACUGCUUUUAUGCGGGGAUAAAGUGAGGGACGCGUCCCUUUUUGCAGGUACCGCAUGAAUAAGGACCGGCUAAUUCCGUGCCAGCAGCCGCGGUAAUACGGAAGGUCCGGGCGUUAUCCGGAUUUAUUGGGUUUAAAGGGAGCGUAGGCCGGCUUUUAAGCGUGUUGUGAAAUGCCGCGGCUCAACCGUGGCACUGCAGCGCGAACUGGAGGCCUUGAGUGUGCGGGAGGUAGGCGGAAUUCGU